rnacentral:misc_RNA from 1 species
UCCGGUUUAGACCGGCGGUCUCCCUAGAGAUUUCAACUAAGGACAAGGGUUGCGCUCGUUGCGGGACUUAACCCAACAUCUCACGACACGAGCUGACGACAGCCAUGCAGCACCUGUCUCACGGUUCCCGAAGGCACCCCCCGAUCUCUCAGGGGUUCCGUGGAUGUCAAGACCAGGUAAGGUUCUUCGCGUUGCAUCGAAUUAAACCACAUACUCCACCGCUUGUGCGGGCCCCCGUCAAUUCCUUUGAGUUUCAGUCUUGCGACCGUACUCCCCAGGCGGCGAACUUAACGCGUUAGCUUCGAUACUGAGAGCCUAGUUGCUCCCAACAUCCAGUUCGCAUCGUUUAGGGCGUGGACUAC